rnacentral:rRNA from 1 species
GACGAAGGAUGCAAGCGUUAUCCGGAUUCAUUGGGUUUAAAGGGUGCGUAGGCGGACUGAUAAGUCAGUGGUGAAAUCUCUCGGCUUAACCGAGAAACUGCCAUUGAUACUGUCAGUCUAGAGUAUAGAUGACGUUGGCGGAAUAUGACAUGUAGUGGUGAAAUACUUAGAUAUGUCAUAGAACACCGAUUGCGAAGGCAGCUAACGAAACUAUAACUGACGCUGAGGCACGAAAGUGCGGGGAUCAAACAGG